AGCCUGAUGCAGCGACGCCGCGUGAGGGAUGACGGCCUUCGGGUUGUAAACCUCUUUCAGUAGGGAAGAAGCGAAAGUGACGGUACCUGCAGAAGAAGCGCCGGCUAACUACGUGCCAGCAGCCGCGGUAAUACGUAGGGCGCAAGCGUUAUCCGGAAUUAUUGGGCGUAAAGAGCUCGUAGGCGGUUUGUCGCGUCUGCUGUGAAAGACCGGGGCUCAACUCCGGUUCUGCAGUGGGUACGGGCAGACUAGAGUGCAGUAGGGGAGACUGGAAUUCCUGGUGUAGCGGUGAAAUGCGCAGAUAUCAGGAGGAACACCGAUGGCGAAGGCAGGUCUCUGGGCUGUAACUGACGCUGAGGAGCGAAAGCAUGGGGAGCGAACAGGAUUAGAUACCCUGGUAGUCCAUGCCGUAAACGUUGGGCACUAGGUGUGGGGGACAUUCCACGUUUUCCGCGCCGUAGCUAACGCAUUAAGUGCCCCGCCUGGGGAGUACGGCCGCAAGGCUAAAACUCAAAGGAAUUGACGGGGGCCCGCACAAGCGGCGGAGCAUGCGGAUUAAUUCGAUGCAACGCGAAGAACCUUACCAAGGCUUGACAUGAACCGGUAAUACCUGGAAACAGGUGCCCCGCUUGCGGUC
rnacentral:rRNA from 1 species